UUAAAUUCCAAAACGUCAUAGUUUAUUAGUUAUCAAAAAUUAAAAAAAAUGUUGUCACACAGAGUAAAAAUGCAAAUACAUGGUGAAUAAAUGUUUUUACAAAUAGCAGGAUAUAUGCAGUACUUUACCAAAUAAUUAAGGAUAAUGUUCAGAUCAAGGCAUGUCAGAUAAAGCUGGCAUAGUUAAAAGUGUGAAAUUAAAUUUUUUUUUAAUUAAAAUUAAAAUGAAAAUUCUGGGGUAAAAUUUGACUCCAUGGAAAAAGAAUUCUGAUUUUAACCCUUUUUAGGAGAAGCCUAAAAGAUUGACCUUAAGCCCCAGUGCAGGACCUGUCAUUUGUAGCAUGGAGAGGUCUGUGGAAGGGGCUAUACAUAGAUGACCUCCCAAAUCUUUUGCAACCUUUGUUCUUUUAAAAGCCAGUAUUUAAAUGGAGAUCUUUAGAUGUCCCUUUACUGGCACACAGAAGAUCCCUGCAGCUGGGUUUCCAACAUAGGAGGACCUCAGUUCUAAAUCUCUGAGGAAACCAACAAAGUCCUCAAUUUAAUUCUUUUGGAUACAUUUUUUAAAUUAUUACAAUCUGCUAGAAUUUUUUUUCAAAAGAUUUAUCUACAGAAGCGACAAUUAAACUCUAAGGGAACCUUUGUGGAUAAAUAAUUUGAAAAGUUUUCCUAACAGAUUGUGAUCACUAAAAGUUUAUCAACAAGAAUGAAAAAGGCUAAUUCAUCAGCCCUAAAACUGCGAGUGUCUCAGCUACAAAACAAUAAAAAUUAAAAAUACAAAAUUACUUAAUGUGUCAAGAGGACUAGUGAAAAUAAAUUACAAGCCACAAAUUGCAUUGAUAAGAAAAAAACAGUGGUUAUCGGUUAAACUCAUCAACAAAGUUAAAAAGCACAGUUCAUAGGAUAAUUUGGAAAUGUAACAAUAGUAUAGCUUAAUAUGAUCAGGGUACUUACUUUUUGACCCAUUCUCAAAAUAAUCUAUUUUCUAAAGUAAACAGAAAGUUUUUUUAGUGUAUAGUGCGCAUUUUUAUAAAAAUACUAUAAAAGCGUUUAUUUACGGAUCUCCCAACAACUGAUGACGUGUUUUGGAAAAUGCAUUCAACACAGUAAGGCUAUGGUGAAUUGUAGAGGGAAAUAUACAAAGACAAUAUACAUAGCCAAACAUGUUGUGCAAACAUUACAAAAUCAAGGUCAAGAAAAGUAAUGGAUGCAUGAUUAAAAUUUCCUUCUUUUACUGAGAUUUUUACUUCCAUGUUCAGCAUGACCUUGGAUUUAACCAAAUUUAAUUAAUAGAUGUAGCCUUUCUGACUGUAUUUGGGAAGCUUACAAUAAGUGCAUUCAUGAAAAGUAAUUGUAAUUGUAUUUUAUAUGAGGCCCACUGGAAAAUGGACAGAUAGACUGUAUUAUUAUAGGGCAAACAUUGAGAAAUGCCAUGUCAUUGUAGGCCAAAAAGACAUGUAUCGAGAGACACACGGGUAACUGAUACAGUGCUACUCAAAGUAUACCACAUAUACAGCUACCACGCAGAACAUGCUGGAAUUCUGAUGCACAUGUGCCACGUAGCUGUCAGAAUGAGAGUCCCACAAGCUGCGACUGACCACGAUGAUGUCCUCUUGUCCUCGUUCCCCCAGAUUCACCACGCACAAAACCUUGUAACGGGCUGGAAGAACUCGUUUCACCAAAUUCUUUACCUCUUCGCUGACCUCUUUCACCAGCGAUGGAGCACGAGUGGUGUCAUAGGUCAUCUCCCCAAUUUUCCCAGGCAGGUAGUCCUCCAGAAUGUGUUUAAUGGUUGGAACCUGGAUCUUCUCAGAAGGUCGAGAUGCGUACGAAGGUGGCUGGGUUUGGAAAUAAAUUAUAUUUAGCACAGAAAGCAAGGCCUACAUUUUACAAUCUGAUUUUCAAUUUCCUACAUUUUUGAUGUUUAACGAAUAUACCCUAAAUCAUUAUAUUGACCAUUCCACUGCCACGUUAAACAUGGUCUGUAAGUCCUACACUGCAUUUGAAUUUGUCUUACUGUAUAGCCAAGGGGUUAUUAUGUCAGGGCCGGACUGGGAGAAAAAUUCGGCCCGGGCAUUUUUUUAACACAGCGGCCCACUAAGAAGGGGGCGGGGCAGUAGAGGUGUGUUUUGUCAUCACCAAUGACAAACACGCCUCCUCUCAAAGUGAGCAUGUUGGUUCAAUGCUCUUCCAGGGCAGACCAAGCGCAGAGCUCUGCUGAAGAGCUCUAGCAUGAGAAAAAAGCUCUUUAUUUGUUCUGCACAGUGCAAGCAAAUUUAAUAACAUGCUUGCACUGUGUUUCCUUGCAACUUGUCUCUGGUGUCUCUAUAAAUGGAUACCAGGAGAC
rnacentral:lncRNA from 1 species